UUUACUUAUGCAAUUAACAACUUUUAAUUGUAAACAAACAAUGCGCUUGUUUUAUAAAAAUAUAUUAUGUUUCAUACAUGUGUAUGCCGCUAAGCAUUUACAGACAAAUAUUUUUAAAUUUGCAAGUAAUCUUUUUGCUUUCUAUAGUUAUUUUAAAAUAUUUUUAGACGUAUUUUUUACUCAACUGACACGACAGCAGCAAACAGGCAUAUAUACUCAAAUACAUAAGCAAGUGUUUGUAAAAAUAUGUAAAUAUUUUUGUUUGAGUUUUUAAAUACUUUAUUUCGUCAAAUUUUCCGACAGCAGCAGUGUGGGAAUGUCGUAUGAAGGCGAUAGGUACCAAAAAAUUCAGUAUGUUACGUUAAAAUAUUUAUAGAAGUAAGAAAUUAAAGCAAAGCAUAUACCAAUGAAGAUUUAGUCACUAAUAACGUAACAUAUUCCAAACUUUAAAAUUUAAAAAUGUCAUUUAAUAUUGAGCUCAAUAAUCAAAUCUCAAAAAAAAAAAAAAUUACACCAAACAAAUAAAGCUUCUUGAGGAGAAAAGGACGUGUGUACAAUUUCAGAUCGGCAACUCAAAAACUCAGGGACUAAUUCGCGUAUAUACAGACAGAUGGACAUGGCUAAAUCGACUCAAUUUAUCGAUACAUUCUACAGGGUCUCCGAUGUUUCCUUCUGGGUGUUACAAAACUUUUCAAACUUAAUAUACUCUGCUCAGGGUAUAAAAAUACAGUUAAUUUAUAUUAGAAAAUGUAUCAAAAAUUUAUUUAAUAUUGUGUUAUUAGAUAAUCGUUUUCAAGUAACAAGCCAUAAUCUUCACAAAUCUUAGUACUCUUUAACAUAAGUAUGUUACCAAGUAGUUUAAUUAGUAUACUUAUAUGCAUAUGUAAAUAAAUCUAUAAAUAAUCAUCAAUAUUUGCUUUAAGAUUAUUUCAGUCGGUUUGUCGCCUUUCUGGCGAGGCGCGUCUAUUUGCUAUGCUAACUGCAUUCAUUUAAUGCAAACUAUGUAUGUAACUGUAGUCUAUGUGCAUUUUCCUAUAUCUACCGAUGUCGUUGCUAUCAAUAGAACUUUCCGGUCACGUGCUGUACUUUUACCUUAGUUGACGUAUAAUUUGCCGAAAUAGAUGAUUCUACUACUAACCAUGAUGACGAAGCUGCACACGGGUAACUAAAAUUAUGUUAUUAUUCAAUGUUAUGUGUGAGAGGCGUAAACAAAAUUCCACUCGGUGAUGAGCUGUGUGCCAAGACUGUUAUUUGUACAAUUGCCAAUGUAUACAGCAAAAUCACGCCACAUUUUAGCAAGCAAGUACAAACAAAUUUCA